CAGCCAUCAUAGCUUCUGGCCAGUAGUGCAGCGUAACCUUUCAAGACAAACGCCACUCACGGUUCUCGCCAGCCACUCUUGCGUAGACUGGCCCAUGUGCUGGCUGACUGACGCGGGGUCUUCACUGGCUUUGUAGAGAGUAUCAUGCCCUGCCCUGCCCUGCCCUGUCGAGUGGAGUCACCAGGAAAAUUGACUGUGUAGCAUUGAGAAACCAUCGGAUCUUCUGGAGGGUUGGUAUCCUUUGGCAUUUGAGACAGACGCCCGCUGCGAGGAGGGGGGGCCGGUGUCUCCAGCUGACGUCCCAUUACAGUGUGGCAGUAGUAGUGGGGAUUUGUUCGUAGGCUUCGUACUUCAGUGAUGUCAGGACCACCAGAAGCUGUCACUGCAACUUUGUCGUCUCUGCAUCCGCCUGCCAGACCGCCACACGCUGGGCAGUCGCAGUGUCAGGCGUUCUCGGUCUUCUGAGGUUGAAGUCAAGCAAUUAAAUUCUUUCACCUGAGAAAUCACACGAGUUUCCUCAUGCAAGGCGGCUGUGCAAUUUUACAGAAGGCCUGACCCAUAUAAUCCCAAUCCCUGAGUUUUGAGGAUUGAGGCAGCCGCGUCCUGGAAAAUCUUACGACCUUGAUACUACGCAGCCUGUGGUGAAAGAAAAACCUGUCUAGCACUACCAAAAAGGCUGCUUGGUGGAGACUACUGCAAAAGAGAAGGAAACCUCAUGAUGUACACAACAACUGUCUGAACAAAAUAAAUGCUGUACUGACUCAAUGCACCCAA